rnacentral:rRNA from 1 species
GCCGGGCCGUGAGGCAACCGGUGGAGUGAUCAGAAGUGAGAAUGUUGACAUGAGUAGCGACAAACAGGGUGAGAGACCCUGUCGCCGAAAGUCCAAGGGUUCCUGCUUAAAGCUAAUCUGAGCAGGGUAAGCCGGCCCCUAAGGCGAGGCCGAAAGGCGUAGUCGAUGGGAACCAGGUUAAUAUUCCUGGGCCAGGAGAUGGUGACGGAUCCCGAGGGUAGUUCGAUCUUAACGGAUUGAUCGGGCUGCUUAGGGGUCCCUGGAAAUAGCCCUCCACAAGACCGUACCCUAAACCGACACAGGUGGACUGGUAGAGAAUACCAAGGCGCUUGAGAGAACCACAUUUAAGGAACUCGGCAAAAUACCUCCGUAAGUUCGCGAGAAGGAGGCCCGGUUUUUGCGCAAGCAGAGGCCGGGGGCACAAACCAGGGGGUGGCGACUGUUUACUAAAAACACAGGGCUCUGCGAAGUCGUAAGACGACGUAUAGGGUCUGACGCCUGCCCGGUGCCGGAAGGUUAAAAGGAGAGGUGCAAGCCUUGAAUUGAAGCCCCGGUAAACGGCGGCCGUAACAAUAACGGUCCUAAGGUAGCGAAAUUCCUUGUCGGGUAAGUUCCGACCUGCACGAAUGGCGUAACGACUUCCCCGCUGUCUCAAAUGUGGACUCAGCGAAAUUGAAUUGUCUGUGAAGAUGCAGACUUCCCGCGGUUAGACGGAAAGACCCCAUGCACCUUUACUACAACUUCGCACUGGCAUCAGGAUUGCGAUGUGCAGGAUAGGCGGUAGGCUUUGAAGCGGGGACGCCAGUUCCCGUGGAGCCAUCCUUGAGAUACCGCCCUUCGCACUCUUGAUGUCUAACCGCGGCCCGUUAUCCGGGUCCGGGACCCUGCGUGGUGGGUAGUUUGACUGGGGCGGUCGCCUCCCAAACAGUAACGGAGGCGCGCGAAGGUUGGCUCAGACCGGUCGGAAAUCGGUCGUUGAGUGCAAUGGCAGAAGCCAGCCUGACUGCAAGACUGACAAGUCGAGCAGAGACGAAAGUCGGCCAUAGUGAUCCGGUGGUCCCGAGUGGAAGGGCCAUCGCUCAACGGAUAAAAGGUACGCUGGGGAUAACAGGCUGAUGAUGCCCAAGAGUCCAUAUCGACGGCAUCGUUUGGCACCUCGAUGUCGGCUCAUCUCAUCCUGGGGCUGGAGCAGGUCCCAAGGGUAUGGCUGUUCGCCAUUUAAAGAGGUACGCGAGCUGGGUUUAGAACGUCGUGAGACAGUUCGGUCCCUAUCUACCGUGGGCGCUGGAAAUUUGAGAGGAUCUGCUCCUAGUACGAGAGGACCAGAGUGGACGAACCUCUGGUGUACCGGUUGUGACGCCAGUCGCAUCGCCGGGUAGCUAUGUUCGGAAGGGAUAACCGCUGAAAGCAUCUAAGCGGGAAGCCUACCUCAAGAUAAGAUUUCCCUGUGACUUUAUGUCACCUAAAGAGCCGUUGAAGACUACGACGUUGAUAGGUUGGAUGUGGAAGUGUAGCGAUACAUGAAGCUGACCAAUACUAAUUGCUCGUGA